CACGUAGGGUGCGAGCGUUGUCCGGAAUUAUUGGGCGUAAAGAGCUCGUAGGCGGUCUGUCGCGUCUGCUGUGAAAAACUCGGGGCUUAACCCCGGGCCUGCAGUGGGUACGGGCAGACUAGAGUGCGGUAGGGGAGACUGGAAUUCCUGGUGUAGCGGUGAAAUGCGCAGAUAUCAGGAGGAACACCGGUGGCGAAGGCGGGUCUCUGGGCCGAUACUGACGCUGAGGAGCGAAAGCGUGGGAGCGAACAGG
rnacentral:rRNA from 1 species